rnacentral:rRNA from 1 species
AUUGAACGCUGGCGGCAUGCCUUACACAUGCAAGUCGAACGAUAACGCGGGGCAACCUGGCGACGAGUGGCGAACGGGUGAGUAAUGCAUCGGAACGUGCCCAGUAGUGGGGGAUAGCCCGGCGAAAGCCGGAUUAAUACCGCAUACGACCUACGGGUGAAAGCGGGGGACCGUAAGGCCUCGCGCUAUUGGAGCGGCCGAUGUCAGAUUAGGUAGUUGGUGGGGUAAAGGCCUACCAAGCCGACGAUCUGUAGCUGGUCUGAGAGGACGACCAGCCACACUGGGACUGAGACACGGCCCAGACUCCUACGGGAGGCAGCAGUGGGGAAUUUUGGACAAUGGGCGCAAGCCUGAUCCAGCCAUGCCGCGUGCGGGAAGAAGGCCUUCGGGUUGUAAACCGCUUUUGUCAGGGAAGAAACGCUCCGAGCUAAUACCUCGGGGUAAUGACGGUACCUGAAGAAUAAGCACCGGCUAACUACGUGCCAGCCGCCGCGGUAACAC